GACGAACGCUGGCGGCGUGCUUAACACAUGCAAGUCGAACGGAAAGGCCCUGCUUGCGCGGGGUGCUCGAGUGGCGAACGGGUGAGUAACACGUGAGUAACCUGCCCUGGAGUUUGGGAUAACUUCAGGAAACUGGGGAUAAUACAGGAGAGGAGCUCCUGCUGCAUGGUGGGGGUUGGAAAGUUUCGGCGGUUGGGGAUGGAGUGGCGGGUGACUAGCUGGUUGGUGGGGUAGUGGCUUACGAAGGCAUUGGCGGGUGGCCUGCAUGAGAGGGUGACCGGGGACAAUGGGCCUGCGGUACGCCCCAGAGUGGAACGUGAGGCAGCAGUGGGGAGUAUUGCACAAUGGGCCGAAGCCUGAGGAAACAACGCCGCGUGCGUAAUGACGGCUAUCGGGGUAUAAACCGCUUUAGCCUGAUACCUAGCUGUAGUGACGUUAAUGGGUAAAGAAGCACCGGCUAACUACGUG
rnacentral:rRNA from 1 species